GGAGAUGGUCUAGAUAAGAGCAUCCUGAAAAGACCUGGAGAAACAUCCACAUCUCACAGGCACAGGAAGAUAAGUGUAAUUUCCUCCCAGAAGGACUUUUGCUCCCCUGGGGUCAGAACUUGGAAAUGAUGUUUUUCUCAAGCUGGCUUUCUCUAGCUGCGUACACAAAAAAGCCAUUUGGAGCCUCAUCUUGACCAUUUCAAGGCCAGAUCUUUAGUUCCCAUUUAAAAUUUCUCAAGAGUUCCUGCCACACAGUAGAUGCCUGAUACACAUUUGCUGAAGGAACAAGCCCUGUGAGGUUUGUCAGUGGCGCUGGAAUCAGGAGGAAGUUCGAGUACGCAGGGAGAUGAAGUAACUUGCCCAAGAUUCCCCAGCUGGUAAAGGGCCAACUCAGGAUGGAACCCAGGCCACAGGGAGAAACUGCCUGCAAGCGUCCGGAUCCCCAGUCUCCCCUCUGCCUGUUUUCAUCGAGUGUCUGACCAGCUUCUUUUCUUUCUUGUGAUCUGCUUACUGGAGCUUUCCCUACCUUGCCUAUCUGUAGAUGUUUGUAAACUCGGACAAAUUACCUUUGGGGCACUUAUUUUCACCCACACUUGAUUUCCCAUUUUCACAGCGUAUGUCGCUAUACUUCAGUAGAAGAGUCUGGUUUACAUGUUUGCAAACUCUAGUUUUUCCUGAUGAUGAAGGUAUUCAGAGAAUUAGAUCUUCAAGGUUGAAGGCUGGUGAUUUGCACCAAAUCAGAAAGCCUUCUGGACUGUCCAGGCGUGUUCUGCACAUUUAGUGAAGACGUGAGAAAUGGGAGGGAUGAUGUCUGAACCUGCCCUUCUUCCAGGCCAGCCUGGAAAGAAAUCAAGAACAAGCUGGAAAGAAAGCGGCCAUCUUCGAGGUGUCUGGAUCUUGGCCUCAGUUCAGCAGCUCUUCUGCUGCUUGCUUUUCCCAUCCCUCCACCCUCCUGCCUCAGCCCCAGAACUGCUCUUACUCUGGUUCCGAAGCUGGAGGGCUUCGGGCCUUGUCCUGCCCAGCCUGAGGAUGUCCUCUCCGG